rnacentral:lncRNA from 1 species
UGGGGCCACCGGCUCCCUCCCCUCUUCAAAGAGACCCCCCAGGCCCCGCAGGGUGUCUGUGCUGCCCGGUGCUUCCGUCCCUCGCGAUCUGGAGAGGGUGAGGUCCUGCCCCGGGGGAGUUUGCGAGGGUUUUAUUUCCCUCCUGACCUUGGAGAGGGUGAACUUCCUGGGUGCUGGGCUGCUCCGAAGCCUCGCAGGCUCCCCCAUGCUGCGGCCGGAGUGAAGGGCCGGCAAUGCGGGGAGAGACCAGCCCGGUGCCGCGCUGGAGGGAGGCGGACUUGGACUUGGAGGCGCGAUGCACCUUCGUCGGGAAGGACCAGCCCCCCGCCUGGCCCCACCUCCCGCGAGCGCAGGCCUCCCUGGGCUGGGCCCUGGCCUUCCCGCGCAGCCACCCCAGUGAGGUCUACACCCUGGGGGGGCAGCUGCCCCAUGUCCUGGGCACCCGCGACCUGCGCCACCACGACUGGAUGCGCUGUGUCUACCCUGCCGCGGGCACCACCGCCCAGAGCCCGGCGGCCUGCCAGCACGAGCGGGCCAUCUACUUCUACACGCUGGCACCCAUCCUGCCCGGCGCCGAGCUGCUCGCGUGGCCCGGCCGCGAGGUCGCCCAGCGCCUGCAGCGCCCGGCGCUGGCUGCAAAGCUUGAGCCCCAGGGGGUGGGCAAGCCCUGCCUGGAGCCGGGCGCGGAGCAGCUGGCGUCGGCGGGCACCCCGGCCUGCCACGACCUCACCGCCAAGCCCACGAAAGAGGAGGAAGAGAGGCGUACAGACGGCCGAGGGCCGGGCAGGGGCACGGGAGGCCGUGCCGUCUGGCCGUGGCCCCCGGUGUCCCACGAUGCGGCUGGAGAAGCGGCUGGUCCCGCGUGCCGAAGAGACGGGGAUGNNNNNNNNNNNCGAGGCGGGGGGGGGGGGCAGACCUCUUCCUCCUGAAGCCUCUCCAGACCCAGCUCAGAAGACACCGGGGCUCGGGGGGAGCACAGGGC